UUUUGUUUCCCACCCAUCCAUUCCUGGACCUUUGGCUUGCACCUCUUGGCGACUGUGAAUGAUGCUGCUGUGAACACAGGUGUGGGCAAGUCUCUCUCUGAGAAGCUGCUUUCACUUUUGGAUAGAUACCCAGAGGUGGGAUUUCUUCUCAUAGGGUAGUUUUGCUUUUGAUUUUUUGAGAAACCCCCAUACUCUGUUCCCCGGCGGUGGUACCAGUUUGCAUCCGCACUGACUCCGCACAAGGGUUCCAGCCUCUCCAUCCUCAUCCACACUUGUGACUUUCUGAUUUUUAUACACAGCCAGCCUAAAGGGUGUGAGGUGACAUCUCCUGGUUUUGAGUUGCAUUUCCUUCUGAUUAGCGGUAUUGAGCAUCUUUUCAUAUGCUUAUUGGCUAGCCUGCCCUUUUUAAAUGGCAUUCGUUUGCUUAGAUUUUUCUGUAAAGUGUUUCUGAGGAGGCUUUUUCUUCAUACUCCUGGUAAGAUGAAAACUCAAGUGAAUUGAUAGAGAUUUCAUGCUUUGACCCAUGCAGGUGUGCUGGGGGAACUUAUUUUUGAAUAGACCAUUUAGAAGGAGGAGCUCCUUGUGAAAAGGAGGAUCGCUGCCUUCACUGUCCCCCGUCCCCUGCCUUCAUCCCAGAAAGCCACUUGCCCCUUUGCAGGCUGUUUAAAGUGUUCAAGUGCGUUCUGAUGAAGGACACCUGUAGAACAUGGUUGUCACCCUGUCGAUUUGAAAUGUAAGAACUGAAGCCACUCAGUGUCUCUCGCUAGAGCUUCCCCGUGGCUCAGGCAGUCAAGAAUCUGCCUGCAAUGCAGGAGACCCGGCUUUGAUCCCUAAGUUGGGAACAUCCUCUGGAGAAGGGAAUGGCCACCCCCUCCAGUAUCCUUGCCUGGGAAAUCCCAUGGACAGAGGAGCCUGGCAGGCUACAGUCCUUGGGGUUGAAAAGAGUCAGACACAAGUGAGUGACUAACAUACCAUAGUAUGCCUCUAAGGAGUGGAGGUCAGUUGUCUUUUCUGUUUGUUUCUAAGUGAAAAGUGAAAGUGUUAGUCACUCAGUCCUGUCUGACUCUUUGUGACCCCAUGGGCUCGCCUAGCUCCUCGUCACUGGAAUUCUCCAGGCAAGAAUACGGGAGUGGGUUGCCACAUCCUCCUCCAGG
ensembl:lncRNA